rnacentral:rRNA from 1 species
UACGUAGGGUGCGAGCGUUGUCCGGAAUUACUGGGCGUAAAGAGCUCGUAGGUGGUUUGUCGCGUUGUUCGUGAAAACUCACAGCUUAACUGUGGGCGUGCGGGCGAUACGGGCAGACUGGAGUACUGCAGGGGAGACCGGAAUUCCUGGUGUAGCGGUGGAAUGCGCAGAUAUCAGGAGGAACACCGGUGGCGAAGGCGGGUCUCUGGGCCGUUACUGACGCUGAGGUGCGAAAGCGUGGGGAGCGAACAGG